GGUGUAAUAAUAGAGAUGAGACACUGAACAUACUUAACUGGACUAGUUGAAUUACAUUUAUUUACGUAUUUUUUUCUUAGCUGAAAAUACUCCUUGAUCAAGUUGAAGAAGCAGUGGCAGAUUUUGAUGAAUGUAUUAGGUUAAGACCUGAGUCUGCUCUGGCACAAGCACAGAAAUGUUUUGCAUUGUACCGCCAGGCAUAUACGGGAAACAACUCUUCACAAAUCCAAGCAGCUAUGAAAGGUUUUGAAGAGGUCAUAAAGAAAUUUCCAAGGUGUGCCGAAGGCUAUGCACUAUACGCCCAGGUAAAUGUUUUUUCAGGUUUUUUAAAAAUAACUGCAUACAUAUGCCAAAUCUCAGUAUGGAAAUCAGAAAACAGUGCUAUCAUGGUUGCAGCUUCUUUGGAAGCAGGUGGCUUUGUUCCUGAUUGAUUCUCAUGGCCCCUGGUUGGUCCCGAAUCACCUCAGAAGAGGCUCCUUUGUUACACAAUUUGGAAAUCAUGGCCCUAAACUCAAUAUGGGGAAGCUUAAGGCGAGAAUUUCCCUCCUGUCUUCAUUUGGAUUGGUUUUGCAAAAAGUAAUUACCUUAGGAAAAUUUACCGUAUGCAAUUGGUGGAGAAAAUAUCCACGGAAAGGCUUUUCUUUCUAUCUGGUCACUGCCUUUUUAUAUGGCUAGGUUGUUGUAACGGUUUAUUUUAAUUUAUCUUUGCUUUAUCUAAAAUUCCUGAAACUCUCUUGGUUUAGGAUUGAAGCUAUGGAAAGCAGGAUUUAAAUCUGAAUUUUUUUAUUGUAGUCUGAAAUUCUUGAAAACUUCUUAGUUUUAAAUCAUCCAUUUAAAUGAAAAUGAUUAGCUUCUUGUAGUGACGGUCAUACAUUUUCCCCUCAAAUAAAAGAUCUCUGAAUGAC
rnacentral:lncRNA from 1 species